CUUUUCUUUUUUCUUUUUUUUUUUUUUUUUGUCUCUUGUCUUUUUAGGGCCGCACUUGUGGCAUAUGGAGGUUCCCAGGCUAGGGGUUGAAUCGGAGCUAUAGUUGCCGGCCUAUGCCACAACCACAGAAACGCUGGAUCUGAGCUGAGUCUGUGACCUACACCACAACUCACGGCAAUGCCGGAUCCUUAACCCAUUGAGCGAGGCCAGGGAUCGAACCCGCAACCUCAUGGUUCCUAGUCGGAUUCGCUAACCACUGAGCCACGACAGGAACUCCAGCAGCUUCUUGAUGUUGCUAGUCUCUGGGGAAUGUCAUCACCCCUUGUUUGGCUUUCAUCAACUCCUCUAUCUUUGUAACCAAGUCCCUGUAUUAAACUCCUGCUUGAAAAUCUUAGGCUGUUUUGCUUUAUUUCUUUUUGUUUUCUUAGCCAGAUCCUGACUGGGGUGGAUGGUCUCAUUAACCCAAUUUUAAAAAAUUAUGAUAUAAAUACAUUGAAUACAUUUAUUAUUAAAAUUAUUACAAUUAUAAAAAUUAUGAUAUGAAAUACAAACAUAGUAUCAUCAUGUACACCUUAAACUAACACAAUGUUAUAUGUCAAUUUUAUCUCAUUAAAACUGGGAGAAAAUGAUGAUGUAGAUCGAUCUUUAUCAUUAUUCAUUAUUCUACCUUCCUUUCCCCAUCUUCCACUACCCUGAAUGCCUCAUCUUCUCCCCACAGUGCCUAAAUUUUGAAGCUCUUUUAAGUUUUCCUCAGAUGUAAUCUGUUCUCAACUAAACUUCACCCUGUUAGUUAAUUCUUACUAAAGUGUGAGAGACUAAGGACUUUCCCUCUUUACCUCUUCCAGGAAUCUCUGUAUUUGAACCAGAAGCCAACUCUUAACACAAAGAAGUGAAGUUUUACAGGAGUGAGAACUGUUGGCAGAAGCUUUUUCUGAUAACUUGAGAACAUGGUUCAGAGGCAGAAGUCACUGCAGCCACUUGCAAGAUUAUGUCAGACUGCAUUCUGUGGAGUGAACUCUGGGGAAGUCGGGAAAACAGUGUCUCACAAACCUGAGUGUGCAGCAGAAUCAUGCAGGUAGUGGGUUGUUAAAAGAUUGCCAGGCCCUGCCCACAGAAUUUCUGAUUUAGCAGGUCUGCAGAGGGGCUUAAGAAUGUGAAUUUCAAGUGACGCUGAUGCUGCUGGUCUGGGGACCACCUCUGAGAACCACUGGGCUGAAAUAAUAACAUCACUGGUUGAGAAUUUAUCAUAUACCCCAAAUAGUUUGAAACCUUUUUCAAAUAGCAAAUCUUUCAGUUCCUGCAAGAAAUAAUGUGGAAACUGAGGCACAGAGAGGCUAAAAAAAGUCUUCAAGUCACACUACUCAUUCCUAGCAGAUCCAGGAUUUGAAUCCAGAGGGUCUGACCCCAAAGUCUGUGCUUCUAGCCAUUGUGCUAAAGUCCAGGCUGUGGGAAAUGGAGAGAUCUGGAUUCUGGCUCUAGUUCUAGCUGUGUGAUCCUAGGCAAGUCACUAGACCUACCUGUGCCUUGGCUUCCUCAUCUGCAAAAGGGGGAUCCUAACAGUUUCUGCCACCAUGUUAUUAUGCCAACUUCAUGAAUGAGGGAGAUGGAGAUUCUUCGCUCUGCAGCCCCUCAGCUAUCUCUCAGUUCACCCCCGGCUACAGGGCAGGACUCCUGGGCUUGCUGAUGGUGUCCCUAUUUCCUGCCUAAGGGCUUUCUCCCACCCCACUGCAGCCUGCUCAGCCUCUCUGCCCCUCUUCGGGGCAGUUUGGAGGUGCAUUCUACACAGCUCCUCAGAGGGGCUCCAGAGAGACUUGCUCAUUACCAUACUGUCUGGUCUACUCAGGCUGCUAGAAAAGAAUACCACAGACAGGGCAGCUUAAGCAACAGACUCAUUCCUUACAGUUCUGGAGGCUGGAAGUCCAAGGUCAAGGUGCCCAUAGAUUCAGGUGUCUGGUGAGGGCUCUCUUCCUGGUUUGUAGAAAGCUGCCUUCUUGCGUUGUCUGCACACACAAUCCCACCACGGGAAGCUUUCCCCUCAUGACCUCAUCUAAACCCGCCUGAUUUCCUGAGGCCCACCUCCUAUACCAUCAUAUUGGGGUUAGGGUUUCAACCUCUGAAUUUUGGGGGGACACAAACUUUCAGUCCCUCACACACCUUUAACUGUCUUCCUCUCUGCUUUUCACUCUCUGAAGUCUCUGCUUCCCAGGACCACCUGCCAUGAAAACCACCUAUGCUCAUGUACCUAUUUCAAGAUUUGCUUUGGGGUAAACACACCCUAAGAUAAAUGACAUGUACAAACUAUAUAAACUAUUUUGCACGAUGCCUGGCAUGUCUAAUAAUAAAAAUAAUAAUAAUGAUAAUAAUAGAGGCUCACAGUUAGAGAUUAUUCCUUAAAUGCCAGGCCUUGACACAUUCAACAAAUGUAGCUGCUCUUGUUUUAUCAUUAUCAUUAUUUACCUCUAAUCUCUCCAGGCCCCCACAAGAGAAAUUGUUCAACAAGUCAUUUUUCUCUCCUCUGUUGUACUUUAUAACACCCUUUUCAAUUCCCUUCAUAGGGCUGAGUUUAUCUCAUCCAUUCAUCUGUUCCCAUGAACAAUGUACCUGCCUCCCUCAGGACCCCAGGAUGAAUCUCCUGGAGUCUCUGCAUUGUUGCCUUUGUGGCAACAGUAAAAAUUGGUUUUGAUGUAACAUUGAUGACUAAACAUUUUAUUUUUCUGUGUAGGCAAAACAAUCUGUUCUCACGGCUUAAAAUUUUUCUUUUUUUUCUGACAUGGGGCGAAAAAUGAAAACAUUUAUGUAACCCUAAUGUAUUUUUUCCUUCUGAUUAUAAAGAAUUUAAGACACUGCGGGGGGUGCCUACUGGGCAAGCUGGCUAUCCUCAGAAUGUAAGCCCCAUGAGAGCGGGAAUCAUGUCCAUCACUCUAUUGGCAGGGCUCCCUGUACCAAGGAGGAACCCCAGAGCUGGAACUGGAACCCAUCCUGGAAUCCCCCGGCCCACAGGGCUGCUGCAAGGCAUUCUGGGAGCACUAUGCAAAUGUGGUCUUCAGGCUCCUCCCCCAGCCUGACUGCUUUAUUGGGGGCAAAGCCUUGGGCUCACUGUCCCCCUGAUCCUGUCCCCCAGCCCUGACCCCGGGGCGUUGGACAGCAGGACUCUCGCCGAGGGCCUCUGAAGCACGUGUUCUGGGCUUGUCCUGGUAAGGACGGAGCUGUUAGACUGACCCCACCGAGUCCCCGGCAGACCUGCUGAAUGGGGCUUUCCUUUCCCUGACCCCGGGGUCAUCUGUUUUCAGAAGGUGAAAUAUGGCCGCCUGGCUGAGGACAGAAGCUGGGGAGAUAAGCGCCAGGGAGGAGCCUGCCGUCCAACAAGCCGUGACUAAUGAUGAUUGGGGCGUGUUUGGCGGGGCAGAAUUUAUUUGGCUCCUGGUUACCUGGGGAUUAACUCUUUGUAGGAUCUUGUGCCCCAGCCCAGAGAUGCCUGUUUUCCUAUUCACCCAAGCGCAGGGUUUGGUGUGUAGCAGUCAUUCAGUAGGUGUCUGUGGUGGGGAAGGAGGAAAGGAGGGAGGAAAAAAGAUGCACAAACAUUCUCUGACCUUGAGCCUUCAGCAUAAUAAAGUCAGUUCACAUUUAUCAUGUGGUUCCCACGUGCCAGGAACUAAGGGCCAAACAAUUUCCACACAUCCCCACGUUUAACCCUCACAAAUCUAUAAAGCAUAUACUAUUAGAGAAGCCCAUUUAACAGACAAGGACAGGGAGACUGGCAGAUUACUUUGCUCUUUUAAAGGAUGAGGCAGUGGAGGUCAGGGCAGGCCUGCUUUAAUUGAGACUUGGUCUUUGCCUCUUCCACUCUUGAGCUCUCAGCUGCUGGGCCGAACCAUCUUCUGGUAUAAACUCUGGAGUGCUCCUGCAUAUUGCAUCAAUCAGGGUUGCUGUAUUUUUCUUUGUAGUAAACAACCUCAAAAUCCCAGAAGUGUACAACAACAAGUAUUUAUUUUCACACUUGUGGGUCUGUAGGUUGGAUGUGGCUCAGCUGGGUCAGACUGGUCUCAAGGCUUCCUGUUGGAAUCGGGUUUUUCUGCAUGGGUCUCACACUGAAGAGGUAGGGUGACUUGGAUGUGCCUUUUGGCCGUGGAGGCUAAGUGUACAAACCCAACCAACGGAUCCAUCCAAAGCCUUUGCUCUGCCCACAUCCCUAGCAUCCCAUUGGCUGAAGCAUAUCACAUGGUCAAAGUCAAGGGGUGGAUACUCAUUUGACCGCCAUGUUGCUGGGGCAAGGAUGGGGAAGUGCAUAAAAGUCUCUAGUAUUUAGGGAGUGAAGAAUGUGAACUAACCGAUCUACGCACAUAAAUAUUAAACAAUUGAAUGGCCUCUGAUGGGUUGGCACUUUAAUGUCAUCUACUCUGGGGCUACUUUACCUCUCUCCCCACCAGGGGACCCUGAACAGUCUGGAGACAUUUUUGGUUGUCAUGACUUGGGUGGGAAGUACUAUUGGCAUCUAGGGGGUGGAGACCAGGAACGCUCCCAUCCUCCUCCUGUGCCCAGAGCAGCUCCCUACGACAAAGAGUUAAAUGCUGCCCAAGUGCCAAUAGAGCCAAGGGUGAGAAACGCUGAUGGAAAAUAGCAACUGACCUGAACAGGGGGCUUGGGAGCCUGUUACAAAUACAGAUUCCAGGGCCCCCAAUGUAGAGAUCUUGAUUCAGAAGGGCUGGGGUAUCACCUUGGUAUCCAUAUUUCUGACUAGCUAUUUAGGAGAUUUUGAUCCCCUAAUCAGAGCCUGGAAAUUACUUCUUUAGGUCCUUGUUAUGCCUGGACAGGAACUCAAAACCAGAGGGUUUAAACAGAACAGUCUUUUUUUGAGCACUUCCUAACAUGACCCUUUCCAGAAACUCUGCAACAUUCACUUCCCAGCUGCCCCACGGUUCAUGGUUGUUUGCCUGGGAAUCGAAUCUCCAAACGGCCUGGGCAAUCUACAGUUUCUCUGCUUCCUCUGCCUUUCACUUUUAAAACCAGGAGGAAUUUCAGGGAAAUGUAAUCCAUAUGUUUCAGAAUCAUUUACACUUAAAUCAUGAAAGUACUGCCGUGGUUUUUAAGAGCUAUUUGAUGUCCAAAACACCUUAUGAGGAUUUUAAAAAUAAGCUUUUUAAAGUCUCUUUUUACUUUCAGUUGGAUUUCGCUCUGGGUAAGUGAAUUCAAAUGAUAUGAAGCUGGCGGGGGUGGGGUGGGGGUAGGGGGUGGAGGGGGGGCUACUAGAAACUCCAAACCAGGAACCUGAAGGAAAUUCGACACUCAACAAAUCAGGUCUUCGGCUGUCACCUAAAGCAUCCCUUGACAUGCAUCCAUUUCAUGCAAUAAAAUCGAUCUUAUUUUCCCAACGAUUAUGGAUUCAAGCGGUCACUCACCGAGGUCUUUAGACAUCUUCCUUCUCAUUUAGCGCCUCGGUGUUCCUUGGGUUCCAUUUUUAAACCAUUUCGACUCGCUCUAAAUGGAGAUCCAAUUCCUCCAUCCAGUGGGUUUGUUAUUUCUAAAGAGCAACCCCGUCCUGCUGCCAACAUUACAUUUCACUCUUCUCUCUCCACUCCAGGGAGACCCAAGUGGGAGGCCACAUUCUAGAACUGACCAUACACUCGCUUUCAGCGCAGGUGGGCCUGCCCAUUUGGAAAACUAAUUUGGCAAGAUAUCUAAUCGAAGACAUGCUUAUGUGCAGCAAUGCUGCUUCCAAGGAUCUAGCCCAAGGAAAUAAUUCUAAGUGUGGAGGAAUGCAUAUUUACACCUGGAAAUAUUCAGCACUGUUGAUCACAGAGAAAAUGGAAAACAACCUAUCAAAAUAAUAAUAGCAAGAGGGUUCUUUCACUGCUCAUUUCUCUGCUUCAUGCCACCAUGAAUGAACACUGGUGGAUAUUAAGGCUGUGUGAUAUCCAUAGGCAAGGGGAAGAGAGUGGUCUCUAUUUGUCACGUGAAAGGAGAUGAAUUAUAGGUACUCCAGGAAGUUCUUAAGAAUGUGUUGGAAUUAACUGGACAAAAGGAAGAGGGGAGACAUUCCAACCAAGUGGAUAACAUAAGCAAAAGCAGAGAAGUGAGUGGAAAGGGCAAGUCAUUCAGUGCUCUUGGAGUUCAAGUUCCAGGAGGGGAGGAGGGGAUGCUGAGGACAGAGAAGGGACAGAGAGCAGCAGAGUAUGGAUUGAUUGAUGGCCCCCUUGAGCAGCCUGGGCCUUAGCCUGGAGGCAGUGAGGAGUCAUUGACAUUGUUUGAGCUGGGAAGGGACACAGGCGAAUCAAUACUUUUACAAAGUGGCUGUGGUCACAGCGCAGAGGCCAUGUUACAAAAGCUGGAGAGGAGGCUGGGAGUCUUCGUGGGAGACUUCUUAAUUGGUACCCAAAGGGGAUGCUGAAUGCCUUGAUGGGUCAGCUUAGAACUCAUUCGUUCCACCAUAGUUCAGCCCAUUAUCAGUGAAGGUGGGAUUUAUGUGAGACACGUCCAGAGGGGGAAUGUAAGAGAACAGUGAGGUGGACGGGACAGUGUCUGUGGAAGUGAGAAGGAGCAGGACACGGGGGGAUUGUCCUAGAAAGGGAGACCUGGUGGAAAAAGAAGCAGGAAGAUAGGGUUUUAUGCAUGAAGGAGUAAGACGAGGAAAGGGAAAGGGGAGCAUCAUCGAGAAAGAGAAAAACUAGUGCUGGAGAGAGUGUGGAGAAAAGAGAACCCUCCUACCACUACUGAAGGGAAUGUAAAUUGGUGCAGCCACUAUGGAGAGCAGUAUGGAGAUUCCUUCAAACACUGAACAUAGAGUUACCAUAUGAUCCAGCAAUCCCACUUGUGGGCAUAUAUCUGGAAAAAACCCAAUUCAAAAAGAUACACACACUUCUGUGUUCAUAGUACC
rnacentral:lncRNA from 1 species